rnacentral:lncRNA from 10 species
GAACUGUACAAGAACAGAACAUCAAAAGCCAGUCUAAACUGUUGGAUAAUAGCUAGGGCCAGUGCUCUAAUUCAAGUCCUCAUCAUUUCUCUCCUGGAAAAAGGCUGUUACUUCUUCAUUCUUGCUCCCACUUCUCCUCGACUCCAUCCUCCAGAUUAUUGCCAGAACCAAUCACAGAAAUCUAAUUGAACAAUACAUCUGUUCACAACUUUCCAGUAGCUAACCAGUAGCUAUAGGAUAAACCACUCUCUUUCACGUUAUAUAAGAAAAGCCUUCAGUAUCUACCCCAUGUUUAAUACUACACUACGCUGUUAAGAUUUAUGCCACAGCAACACUGAUCUACCCAGUAAGUGGUCAGUACAUUUUAGUUGAAUUAAUAAAGAUAAGUGACAGUGUGAUUUGAUGGCCCAUGAACUCCCGUAUCAACCUCAUCAAUUGUCACCUCACCAUUAAAACUAUCUCCUUCCAGUCCUGAAGGUUUUAUUGGGUUCAAAAUUCCUAAAAAAGUAAGAAAGAAAGAAAGAAAGAAAGAAAGAAAGAAAGAAAGAAAGAAAGAAGAAAUAAAUAAAUAAAGAAAGAAAGAAAGGAAGGAAGGAAGGAAGGAAAAAAGAAAGCAAGAAAGAAAAGGAAAGAAAGAAAGAAAGAAAGAAAGAAAGAAAAUGUGAAAAGCUUUGGGAGUAUUCAGCUUUCCUAGUAACUAUGUACAACAGUUAGCUAACUAAGGAUCUUCAUUGUGCAGAGAUGGAUUCUGUGUUUAGAAUCUGGGGCAUGGCCAGAGGGUGCUGCAGGUAUUCCUGACUUGCUUCACAAGGUGGCUUGGGGCCUUUGCUGGGAAGAACUCUGCUUUUGUAAUUCUGACAGCUGGAUAACCUUGGGUAAGUUACUCUAGUUUCUUUCAAGCAAAGUUAAAAUAGCAACAUUAACCUACCCCCCACAGGCAUGUUAAUAAGUACAUUCUUCCCCAAAGUGCAAUGUACGGAUUUUCAUUAGUCAUAGGGCUACAAUAAUAGUUAAUUGUCCCUAGUUCUUCUUGUUAUUUACUGUUCACUCAACCAAAAUAUGUUACUGAAGGGACUGAGGGGAGAAAGUUGCAAAAUAUGCUGCUGUUCCAAAUAAGUUGCCAAGAUAAUAAAAAACAAUGUAAUCAGACUGUGAGAAGACCUUCUGAUUUCCAUCCCAACUAAUCAUUAGAGAUUCUAUUGCAAACUAAUUUUCUUAUCUCUUAUCUCUAAGUCAGCUCC